CGCUUCAUGGGAGGCAACCCACGUGUGCGAUUGUCAACUUAUUUUGUUUUUUCUUUUCUUUUCUGUAUGGGUAUGAAACGUUGUUGCAGGUAAGGAGUGGAACUUGGAGAGGAUAGUCGUAAUCACUUCUCAGCGAAAGGAGGCCAGACCAAAGAAGCAUUGCCGAAUUCAGAAAUUGAGGAAAACAGGGCAUCCACACGGCUACCCGUGUGGUGACACACGGCCGUGUUAAUUAAAACAGAGGAUUAACACGGGCGCCCGUGUGGUGACACACGACCGUGUUAAUUAAAACAGAGGAUUAAC
rnacentral:lncRNA from 1 species